AUAAUAAGAGGUCUCUGUAGAAUAUUUUCAGCAUGUUAGCUCAAGAAAUCAAAAUUUUACCGUCAUAAGAAGAAAUGAAGCAGGAAAUGGAUCACCUUAUUCAUGCAGGCCAUGGCCUCAACUACUUCCUUCGUAAAUGUUCUUCCAGUUCCAGAUGUCCCAAUUAAGACAGUUGGCUUAACGGCCUUAACAGCGUCUAGGAGAUUGUUGACAGGUUCGUGUUCAUGAGCCCAAGGCUUCUUGAAGGCUUGAAGUGUUUCCUUGCGACCACUAACAAUAAGACCCUUUGAGUCCACAAGCCAGAUCUUUUUUCGUGUUUCCUCCACGGGUAUAUUUGUCUUGUUUGAAAUUUCAAGUGCUAUGAGUUCUGCAAUACCAGUCCCAGCCUCUCCGGCACCGAGGAACAAGAAUGUAUGAUCACAUAAUGCACCUCCAAGUAGCUUAAGGGAUGCAAUAAGCCCUGCAAGUACGACUGAAGCUGUCCCCUGUAUAUCAUCGUUGAAGACCAAAUGCGAGGUACGAUAUUUAGCCAACAGCUCAAAAGCAUUGUGGUUUGCAAAAUCUUCAAACUGUACG
rnacentral:misc_RNA from 1 species